AUACUCAACAUAACUUAUCAAUACCUCCCACUUUAUUCCAAGGUCAACUCUUUUCAUACUUAGGUCAACCUUACUAAUUGAAAUCUAAGAUAUAACUCAUCAAUUCUAUUAUAGAUAUCAUAUGCCACUUAUACAUAAAUUUUAUCUUAAUAUCUAUUGAUUCGAAAUCUAAAUAUUGAAUCUUCUCUUUUAUAUCUAUCAUAUUCCUCAUGAUCAUAACCUAAGUUUAAAUAUCACUAAAGUCAUAAUUUCAAAUAAUUAUAAUCUUAAGCUUAAAUACCACUUAAAUUAUAUUCUCUAAUGAUCAUAACCUAAAUUGUAAUAUCAUUCUAUUACAUCCUUAAUGAUUAUAACCUCAGACUCUAAUAUUAUCUAUCAUACUC
rnacentral:lncRNA from 1 species